AUCCCCAUACGUCAAAUGAGGAGAUGAUGAAUGCAGAAGUGAUUAAGAUCUGUCUGUGUUUGUGCAGCACUGUGGCAGUGCACCAAGGCUAGGGAGAAGAGGAGGAAGGGGCAUAGAAAGUGUGGGUGUGCAGCUUGGGUUUGGUGCAGCUCAGACGAGGGAGUUGAGGAAGGGAUGGAAAGGUGGCUGUGAUGUAGCCAAGCAGCAGGACAGGAGGGUAAAAGGACUUUGAGUGGGGAUGAGCAGGAGCACUUUCCCUUACCACUAAGGAAAGGAUUGUCAGCACAGGGAAAGCAGACCUGGCUGGAUCCUUACUCACCUGGACCAGCAGGGCAGGCACAUGGGCAGCGUUCUGUGGGAGGAAAAGGCUAGGCUACCCAGGGAGGUGGUGGAGUCACAGUCCCUGGAGGUGUUCAAGAAGUGUGGGGAUAUGGCACUGAGGGAUGUGGUCAGUGGGCAUGGUGGGGGCGUGCUGAUGGCUGGACUGGGUGAUCUUAGUGCUCCGUGACUCCUGGAAGAGCCUGGGCUUGUCCACAGCCCUGCAUUAACAGGCUCACCCCUGGGCAGAGGCACACGGGUGUCUGUCAGGGUUUGGCACGGCGCUGCGGUGAUUCAGGGUUCUCCAGACAGUGGGACAAAGGGCAGCAGCCUGCUCACGGGUCUGCUCUCUUGGCCACGGUGAACAGGCAUGACACCAGGGGCAGUGCCAGCCUUCCCUCUGCCCAGUGAGAGCAGGAAUCAGCAGACAGCACAGCCUCUGCCCUACUUGUGCCCAUCCCCUCCCCUUCCUGUAGGGCACUGUCUUCCCAGGCAAUCUCCUCAGUGUUUUAUUUCACUUAAGUUUCAAACAACAUUGCCCACACGAUUUAAUUCUCCUUUGUGGCAACGUAUAUGUAUUACCCCUUGGGUGGAUUAGAGACCGAUUUAUUGCCUUCCACUUGUCAGAAAACCUUCCACACACCCCCUCCCUCAGUCACCUUUCCUCUACAAACCGGCUCAUUUGAUCCCUCCCAUUGGAGAUGUUGGUUUUUAGACCUUUGAUUGCUCCUGCUGCUCACCUGGGAGCGCUGCGUGGCUCACUCUUCCUGAAAUAUCAUGCCAAGCACGGUGUUAACAUUAGGAAAGCCUUGUCUGGAACACAUUUUGGAGCCUUCAUGUUUGUAAAGCUGUUGCUGCAGGGGAUAGGAGUAAGCAGUAAGCUACCAGCAAGAGCUUCUUUUUACUCGUUAUCCCUUCGCCAUCCCUCCCCAUCUCAGCUGGAGAUGUUAUCCUUCACUCUCUGCCCUUAAUUCAUCAUUAAACAUCUGCAACAACUUCA